AACCCGCCCAAAUUUUACAUAUCACGAUUCUCACCGAACUACACAAUUUUUUUUCACAAACACAUCUCACCAAACUCCCUCACCAAAAAAAGAAAAAAAAACCCUCUCACCAAACUCUCCCACCAUGUCUGCAACUCCGAAGCUCUCAACUAUCAAUCUAUGAAAUAACCCAUCUUCAGAAAACCCUUAACUAUUGAAAUAAACCAUCUUUAGAAAUCCCUUAACUCUCAAACCCUUCAGAAAAUCCUAAACUCUCAAACCCAUCAGAAAACGCUAACAAACUUUUGAUUUUUCUCUCUGGAGAACCAGGUCUAAGAACAUCAGAUACUGGAAGGUAUUGCUAUCCAAUGGAGUUUAGGUCUAACAACAACAGAUCUGUUAAUAUUGGAGGGUAAGAUUGCCAUCUUUUAAACUGUUUUGAGGGCUAUUGAUUUUGUGGUGUUUUUUCAAUUUAUGGUGUAGGUAUUGCUAUCCUGUAGAGUUUAGGUCUAACAACAACAGAUCUGUUAAUUCUGGAGGGUAUUGCGAUCCUGUAGAGUUUAGGUCUAACAACAACAGAUCUUUUAAUACUGGAGGGCAAGAUUGCAAAAUUUUAAUUUUAUUUCCCUGAAUUGAUUUCAGACAAGGGGUAUUGAUUUUGUGGUUUAUUUUCAACUUCUGGUGUAGGUAUUGCGAUCCUGUGGAGUCUAGGUCUAACAACAACAAAUCUGUUAAUACUGAUUAUUCUGUAUGAGUAUUAGGUUAUUUUGAGAAGCAGCUUUCAUAUCUUGUUUAGUGGUAUCAUUUUGUUUGUCGUAAUGAUUAUUUUCUUGAUCUUUGUUAAUACAGAUUAUUCUGCCUGAACAUAUUUUGUUUUAAGUUGAUUUUCAGUUUUGUCAAUUAUGAUGAAUUUAUUUUUUGAAGUAUGAGAGAUUUGGAGUACUUUUGGUUUAAUGCAGAUGACGGCAGUCGCUUUUUGACAGAUUAUAGUGUGUGAGUGUAAUUAGCCGAGAUUUCCCGGAGUAGUAGCCAUGGAGGUACUGAAGGAAGCAACACAGGAUAUGAGACAUGUUCCUCUUACAGAUUUUGUAAUGAGUUAUACCCAGCCCUUGGGUAGCCUGGCGGGUUUCCUUUUUAAUCUCUGGUAAUUUAGUUACCUAGUAAAUCUUGAAAUAUGUGUUUACAUGAUUCCUCCCAAAAGGCUACAACUUACCACCAUAGAGUUCCGAAGUGGAGAUGUAUUGGUCGUUAGGUUUGUUGUAAAUGAAGGAGAUUGGUGCAACUAACCUGACAACCAAUACGUUCUCCUCUCUAUAUAGGUUGGUGAUUGAACUCUUAUAAUAAUUAGUUUCACUUGUUAUCAUUUGUAUCUUUUUUCUUGGUUGAUACAGUUACUAACUACUAUUCUUUUUGUGUUUUGUGAGGAUUCACCGAUGCAAGGUCAAAGGGCUGGAAAAUUCCUACUGCGAAUAAAGUUUAGAAUUCAUUUUAAUCUCAGGAAUCAUUGAUGGGAAGACUUUAAGCUGGAGAUGUGCUCUUGUCGUAGUACCAGCUGAAUUGCAGAACGAGAUAUGUUUUGUUGUUCCUGCAAGGCAGUUCAAGAUCUGGAAUAAUUUCAUACUAACAUUCAAUGAUGAUUUAAUUGAAAUGAAUUUAUUCCAAGUUCUUGAACAGGACUUGUGGGAGAGGUAUAUUUUUUCACAAAGCGUGAUCACCUUAUGAAUCAAAGCAGUAACCUGACAAGUAGCCUUGUUAAUUCCAGUUGGAUUCAUUGAUGCAAACACCUGAAGCUGGGUCAAUUAAGAAUUUUUUUUGGCGGUUAUGAGGACAUUGUUAUUUGUAUGACAGGUCUGCAGAUAAACUCAAGAGGGACGGUGUUGGCUUUGCUAAUGUGUACAAGGGAGUGAAUCAACUUGUAACCAAGAUCAAAUUCUUGAAAUAAGUUGAUAGAGAAGGAUUAGACAUGUGGAGCUGCAGCAAUACCUUGGCCUGUGCACAAGUGGGAAGAUUAUUAUUUUUUUGGUUGUAGUUUUCAAUAGCCUAUAAUGAGUGAUGAUACACUCUCCUCCAUUGCUCCCGAUAGGGGAAUCCAACUGCCAAAAAAUCGUUUUCGACAUUUCUCAGCAUUCUGAUCGGGAGUGUUUACUAAUUCCCUCUCAGUCAGGAAUUUGGAUCCGGAGCAAUUGUAUGUUUUUUCAGUAGCUUGGCAUGUACACAAUGGGGAAGGCUCAUUUUUUUCAGUAGCUUGAUUUUCUUUCAUGACAUUCUCUUUUAAUAGUUUGAAUCUUCGUUUGCUUUAAA